AUCAUAGUCAAAAGACGCCACGGGCUAAACAGGAGUGGUGAUGCUGAGCACAGAGAAGUAUCAAAAGUUGCAAGUGGUUCAAGCUUAGCACAUGAACCAAUUAAAAAGACUUAAAGAGGAAAAGAUACCACAUGAAAUUGAUGUAAUAUAUUUAUAUAACUAAAGAAGUUUUAAAAAAAUGAUGCACCGGUUCUCCAUACAAACUCCUAGAUCCUGAAGAACACAGCAUGCCGAGAUUCCUCAAGUCCAAGGACAAACAUUUGACACGCCCAUAAUGAUAAAUAAAUUUCUAGAUUUAGACAGGCCACCAGCUAUAAGCAAGGGUCAUGAAAGACAAAGUACAAAAAAAUUGACAGCUACGGAGCUUGAAGCAAGAUUAGAAGCCGCCCCCCUCAAAAUCAAGACCUUCCAUAGCCAUGAGCAUGCCUGGCAGUGGCACUCACCACAGCCAAGUUGUGGAAGCCCAAACGAAAGAAGCUGCGAGAGGAGACUAACUAUCAUCCUCAUCAUCGUCCUCUUCGUCAUCAUCUUGCUCACCAUCCUCAUCAUCUUCAGAUCCCUUCUGACAAAAAACAGCAUAAUUGGUCGGGCAGAGUUUAUUAGCGUGUGCAAAUAAAAAUGCUGCACAGUACACAGCAGAGAAGAAACAGAUUAAGCAAAUAAAACUAA
rnacentral:lncRNA from 1 species